UCAGAGCUAAUUCAGUCUUCUGUUUCCUGUCCUGACUCCCUUAAGGAAUAAACUUCCUUGAGAAUCAUACCAAUGGCUCCUCCUUGUUCUCUUACCCUGGUUCUUGGUGCUGGUACACCUGGAGCUGUGGGGAACAGAAGCAGCCCUCUGCGAACCACCACCCGAGUCCCUCAGAAACACAUGAACAACACAAAUCGGCUUACAGAGGAGCAGCUUGAGAGCCACGAAGGAAGAAUGUGAUACAAGUGCACAACAUUUCAGUUUAUCCUGUGCUGCACAGUGAACGUUCACAGAUCACAGAGAGGCCAGCAGUGAAUUCUAUCUCACAGCAGAGGAGACGGAAUCAAAGCUGCUACCACAAAAUCUAUGGUGAGGAGAAUACAACAAAGGUGGAUUCAAUUCUGGAGCUGCAAUCCAAGAACCACAGCAGAACAGAGCGUGGGCCCUACUGCAGGAGGGGAGCAGACAGAGCAUCUGAGACCUGCCAGGAUCAUCUCAGUUCACCUGUGACAAGCCCAGCCUGUGACAGGCAGGAGUGAGCUGUGAUCGAUCACAGAGCAGGCGCUGCUGGAGUGAGAUUGGCCCUGGUAACAGACUCAAGGAGAAGGAAAGAAAAGUGUUUUCUCAUGACAGAGAAGGGCAAGAGAAUGACACCUUUACUAUUGUGGUAAUAAUGAGUUUAUAGAAACUAAUGCAAUGCAAACUUAUGCAGUGUUUGAAGCAUCAAAAUCUAGGAGUAUCUUAAACCAUGAACAGGUAGGGAGAGAGAGGCUCCAUUUGUAACUAAAUUCUGCACAAACGCACAAACAUCUUCAGACUAUAAGGAGGAAAUACAAAUGCUCUUGAACUCUCCACAGAGGGUUUUUGUGGCCUGGCACACAUCUAAAAGGAAACAAUGACCCUCACAGUCACCUUGACACAGGACUUCUGCCUCUCAAGUUUACACCACUCUCCCUUUUUCUGAGCAAUCUCUCCGCAGAGUACGAAAAAUAUCUGAGCUUUGAAGGUUGGUUUCUCUGGGAGAAUAAAGUUAGUGACACAGAGGCUGCCAACACUGUUGUACAUAAAAAUCCCCCAAACAAUCCCAUCUUCUGGGAUUUGCAGCUCUCUGUUCUCGAGGAGCAACUCCAGGACAGAACUUAAUUUGAGUUGGGGCAAAGACUCUUUUGCCUAACUCUUUUACCCUGAAUUUUGUAUAGCCCAAAGUUAAUGGAUUCUUUCUAUCAGGACUAAAUA